rnacentral:rRNA from 1 species
CCUACGGGAGGCUGCAGUGGGGAAUAUUGCGCAAUGGGCGAAAGCCUGACGCAGCGACGCCGCGUGGGUGAUGAAGGCCUUCGGGUUGUAAAGCCCUGUCGGGUGGAACGAACGAUCUGGCGGCGAAUAACCGCCGGGUGUGAAGGUACCACCGAAGGAAGCCCCGGCUAACUACGUGCCAGCAGCCGCGGUAAGACGUAGGGGGCGAGCGUUGUUCGGAUUUACUGGGCGUACAGCGCGCGUAGGUGGUGAAAUCCCUCUGCUUAAGCUAGGUCCCGAAUCCGAUACUGUCUGGCUCGAGUCUAGGAGAGGAAAGCGGAAUUCCCAGUGUAGCGGUGAAAUGCGUAGAUAUUGGGAGGAACACCGGUGGCGAAGGCGGCUUUCCGGACUAGUACUGACGCUGAGGCGCGAAAGCUAGGGGAGCGAACGGGAUUAGAUACCCGAGUAGUC